rnacentral:rRNA from 1 species
GACGAACGCUGGCGGCGUGCUUAACACAUGCAAGUCGAGCGGUAAGGCCCUUUCGGGGGUACACGAGCGGCGAACGGGUGAGUAACACGUGGGUGACCUGCCCUUAGCUCUGGGAUAAGCCUGGGAAACUGGGUCUAAUACCGGAUAUGACUCCAUAACGCAUGUUGUGGGGUGGAAAGCCUUGUGCGGCUAGGGAUGGGCCCGCGGCCUAUCAGCUUGUUGGGUGGGGUGAUGGCCACCAAGGCGACGACGGGUAGCCGGCCUGAGAGGGCGACCGGCCACACUGGGGACUGAGACACGGCCCAGACUCCUACGGGAGGCAGCAGUGGGGAAUCUUGCGCAAUGGGCGAAAGCCUGACGCAGCGACGCCGCGU